rnacentral:misc_RNA from 1 species
AAAAGAACAUAGUACAUGAUCUGUAACAUUUCAUUAAUGCACAAUAGAGUGCAAAAAUUCAAAGGCCAAAAAUGCCUCCAAUUAGAAUACAUGAAAGGGAAAUUAAAAGAGAAGCCAAAAAGAAAACAAGAUUUACUAACUUUAGACCGCACACAGAGGCUACCUACGUGCCUCCAUUGACGAAAUGGGAGAUUAGGUCUACGUAGCUCUCAAAUAUAGACUAACUAAUU